GAUGAACGCUGGCGGCGUGCCUAAUACAUGCAAGUCGAGCGAAUGGAUUAAGAGCUUGCUCUUAUGAAGUUAGCGGCGGACGGGUGAGUAACACGUGGGUAACCUGCCCAUAAGGCUGGGAUAACUCCGGGAAACCGGGGCUAAUACCGGAUAACAUCUUGAACCGCAUGGUUCGAAAUUGAAAGGCGGCUUCGGCUGUCACUUAUGGAUGGACCCGCGUCGCAUUAGCUAGUUGGUGAGGUAACGGCUCACCAAGGCAACGAUGCGUAGCCGACCUGAGAGGGUGAUCGGCCACCCUGGGACUGAGACAAGGCCCAGACUCCUACGGGAGGCAGCAGUAGGGAAUCUUCCGCAAUGGACGAAAGUCUGACGGAGCAACGCCGCGUGAGUGAUGAAGGCUUUCGGGUCGUAAAACUCUGUUGUUAGGGAAGAACAAGUGCUAGUUGAAUAAGCUGGCACCUUGACGGUACCUAACCAGAAAGCCACGGCUAACUACGUGCCAGCCGCCGCAGUAA
rnacentral:rRNA from 1 species